UACAGAGGGGGCAAGCGUUGUUCGGAAUUACUGGGCGUAAAGGGCGCGUAGGCGGCCUUCUAAGUCGAACGUGAAAUCCCCGGGCUCAACCCGGGAACUGCGUCCGAUACUGGAAGGCUUGAAUCCGGGAGAGGGAUGUGGAAUUCCAGGUGUAGCGGUGAAAUUCGUAGAUAUUCGCAAGAACACCAGUGGCGAAGGCGGCUCACUGGCCCGAUACUGACGCUGAGGCACGAAAGCGUGGGGAGCAAACAGG
rnacentral:rRNA from 1 species